rnacentral:rRNA from 1 species
AUUGAACGCUGGCGGCAUGCCUUACACAUGCAAGUCGAACGGUAACAGGUCUUCGGAUGCUGACGAGUGGCGAACGGGUGAGUAAUACAUCGGAACGUGCCCAGACGUGGGGGAUAACGAGGCGAAAGCUUUGCUAAUACCGCAUACGAUCUAAGGAUGAAAGCAGGGGACCGCAAGGCCUUGCGCGUUUGGAGCGGCCGAUGGCAGAUUAGGUAGUUGGUGGGAUAAAAGCUUACCAAGCCGACGAUCUGUAGCUGGUCUGAGAGGACGACCAGCCACACUGGGACUGAGACACGGCCCAGACUCCUACGGGAGGCAGCAGUGGGGAAUUUUGGACAAUGGGCGAAAGCCUGAUCCAGCAAUGCCGCGUGCAGGAUGAAGGCCUUCGGGUUGUAAACUGCUUUUGUACGGAACGAAAAGGCUCUGGCUAAUACCUGGGGCACAUGACGGUACCGUAAGAAUAAGCACCGGCUAACUACGU